AAGCUCGUAGUUGAAUUUCGGGGUUAGUAGGUUGGUCAUGCCUCUGGUAUGUACUGGUCUCACUGAUUCCUCCUUCCUUAUGAACCGUAAUGCCAUUAAUUUGGUGUUGCGGGGAAUUUGGACUGUUACUUUGAAAAAAAUUAGAGUGUUUAAAGCAAGCUAACGCUUGAAUACAUUAGCAUGGAAUAAUGAAAUAGGACGUUCGAUCUUAUUUUGUUUGGUUUCUAGGAUUGACGUAAUGAUUAAUAGGGAUAGUUGGG
rnacentral:rRNA from 1 species